rnacentral:lncRNA from 1 species
GGGACAAAGAUGAGGAUUGAAUUUGAGUGUGUGUGUGUGUGAGAGAGAGAGAGAGAGAGAGAGAGAUAUUACAAAGAUGAAGCAGCUCCCAGUGCACGCAACGUAUUCCUCGCGUUCGUCAAAGCUUUUUCGUUUGUUUUCUCAGUCACGUGUAUUUCACAUGCUCUUUAAUAAGAAAGGAGUGAACAAGUCAUCAGGUCAUUCAAUCUCAACCCUUAAUUUUUAAAAUGAAAUAUGAACCCUUAGAUGAUUGGCUGUACCGAUACAAUUGAGGCACCACAGAAUUUUUGAUAACUUAUAGGUACCCAACCCAGUUAACAGUAAACAACAAAUGGGCUUGUCGAAUAUAGGUCCCUACAAUUUCUAUUUUCUAGACAUAUACCCAUCAUUCUUUAAAUCUAUGUGUAAAACUCAAUUUCAAACUUAAAUGACCAGUAGGAUGUAAGAGGUCGUAGUAUUCCUAUGUUUUUAUAUCCUUGCC